GGGGAUUUAGCUCAGUGGUAGAGCGCUUGCCUAGCAAGCACAAGGCCCUGGGUUCGGGUCUCAGCUCCG
rfam:Rattus norvegicus chromosome 6, whole genome shotgun sequence.